GGGCAAGGGGCUGAGGGGAGGGGGCCCAGUGCCAGCCGUUUAAAAAGGCCCCCGUGGCAGUGAGGGGUGCCAGAGGCCGGGUCAAGUUAGUUGAGAAACAGCAACACCCCCAGCCAUCCCCCAAACGGGCUGGCCCCCAUCUCCGACCACAAGGAGCCACACCUGGACCAGACUCCAGGAGAGGCAAGGGCACGGGCUGCUGAGAGCUACCCCUCCAACCCUGACAUCAGAGAGCAAGAAGCCCACAGAGGACAUCUCCUGGGGGCUGGAAAAAGGCAGGAAGCAGGUGGCCCUGGAAACAGAACUAAGGGGAAACAGAACCACAGAGAGGACGAGAGACUGGCAAGAAGUAACCAAGCAAGUUGGUGAUAGAGUUCGGGACUCCUGAGCAGCAUCCCUGUCUCCUGAUUGGGCACCCAGAAUGUGACGGGGCCUCUCGAGGGGUAAGUAUCCCCCUUCUCAGUGAGGCUCUCCUGCAGCUGCUGUCGUUUGAAGGAGACUAGGGGUCAGGGCCAGUGCCGUCUGCCUGCCCAGCAGGUGGGAGAGACUCAAGGGAAGAAUUCCUGGAACGAGAGAGCCAGGAGAAGCAACACCCUUCCCAUCCUUCUGCCCCUCCUUCCAUGCCCAGUUGCAUUAUCUCCUCCUCCAGGAAGCCUUCCCAGCUUCCCCUAGGGGUGGGAACCUCUUUGUACUCUGAGUCCUUGGCAGUCCUUUCCCAGACUCACUCUUGUGCCACUUGGGUCUGCCCCUCGUCACUAAACCAGGGGCACUUUCCUUCCCCCACCCUGGCCUCCUGUGCUCCUAUAGGGCAAGGACCACAUCAGAUUCAGUUUCAUCACCCCUCAGCAUCUAUGCUGAGGCACUUGGUUCCUGAAUGAACAAGUAAAAUGAUUAGACCCUGUCCCAGACUGGCCCAGCAGAGAGGUUAAAAAAUGAGGGCCCAGGGGUUGACAGUUGUCACCUAUAGAUCCCGGCUCAGCUUCUACCUCCAGGCCCCUGGAGAAUUCCCUUCCCAUGGAACAUCAGGGAUGCACAGAGAUUAGCAUAGUACAAGUAUUCAAUAAAUAAUAACCACUCUUAAUAUAGUCAUCAUCACUAUGAUUAUUCUAGACACAAAGGAACAGAACCAGGCAGCACCGAACAGGGGCCACAGAGGACAGGGAAGCAGAUUCCUUCUUCUGGUCAAAGGCUGCCUCUCAGCCCGUCGUCCCUGGGUCAGUUUCUUCUGGAGAAGGGUGGGUCUGGCUCCCUCUUCCUGUUUGGAAACCCAGGAGAGACGCUAUCUUAGCUACAGUAUUCUCAGCCCAGUGGGGUGCGGUGGAAAUCGCCCUGACUCCCUAGGUUCAAGGCCUGGCUGUGUGACUAGGACAGUCUCCUACCCUCUCUGGCCCUUCACCUGGAGAUAAUAACCCUCCCCCUGCCAGCCUCACCAGCUCUUCUGAAGAGUAAAUGUGAUAGGAGCUGUUUACCAAACUUCAAUCAUUCAGAUGCCCCCUUUUAAAUUUUUCCAUCUGGGUACCAUUGUUGUAUUUAAAAAUUUAAGGUGAGUCAUUUUGUAAUGUUUGAACAUGAACUUUAUAUAACUCCAGUAAAUGGAGAUCUAUAUCACUGUCCCUAAUUAGAACUAAAGAUAAAAAUAAACACAGUAAAAAGGAAACAAUGUUAUUACCCUUUAACCUUGCUUGCAAGGCUCUGGGCCAGAGGCAAACAGGAAGUAGAAAGGUGUCAGAGACCAAACUGAGACUUUCUCCCCACUGUUAAUAGAAGGACGGAAAGAAAACUCACAGGGCAUAACUGGAGUCGUUCUGUGACUAAGGCCAUGUACUUCUCAAGAUCGGCCUCCCCAAAUGCUACGCUUUGCGAAGCCAGAGGCGGUUUAGGUGAAAGGGCUCUGAAACAGUCACAUGCCAAGCAAAUGAAAGGGAUUAUCCUUAUGAGCUUGGUUCCUGGCAGCAAGUCCUUGUUUCUCAGGGCAACCCUCCCUGGCUUCUCAGUGGAACCUCCAUUUUGGCCAGGCUGAGAGUUUUCUCUCACAGUGGCCGGCAGGAGCUGCUGGAGAGUGGAGCAGACAGGGUGCGGGCUCUCUGGGAGCCCCAAAAGGUUUUGGAAUCACUUCCCCACCAAAAUGCAGGUUGCAAGGAGUUCCUGCAAGAGAAUUACAAAUAAGAGGAAGGCAGUUCUUUGUCUGGGAAUACCUCAGGAAGGGGCUGCCCCCUCAGCCAACCCUCUGAACUGAUGUCAGAUCUGAGGAAGACUCUCUUUCCAUAAUUUAGAUUGGGGGCCAAUUUCAGAUUUCUGCCAGAGGCAUAGGAGGCACUUUUAUUUUAUUUUUUAAAUUUAUUUUCCUGCUCUCUCGCCCCCGAGGAAAGGCUACCUGCUCCCUUCAGCAUCCCUGGAAGUAUGUGACAUCCAGCAUCAAGACUACCACAGGGACCACCAAGCAAAGCAGGAGGGUCCUCUGUGGGUGCCCCCAAGAUCCUGGCAGGGGACAAGAGGAGUGGGGGAGGGGCUCUGCCACCUUACCCCGAGGUUCCCAUGCAAGCCAGGUCCACAGAGGAAAAGGGAUUGUCUACCCAGCCACUCAGUCACCCACCAAGUGGGCUUCCCUGGGGCCCAUCAGCAUGUACAAAGGCUUCAGCCAAGGACCCCCAAAUCAGUAGAAUGUAGGUGCUGUCCUCAGAGGGUUAGGGAUCUAGUACGGUAAGAGCCAGCGGCAAAUAGCUCUGAUUCUGCGGAGAAUGCGACUGAGGAGUUCGGUGUAGCCAUUCGACCAGUUCUUCCUGGGCCUGCUUUGGGUGGUGGGUGCGGCAGCCAGGGUCCCUUCCUUCGCAGAGUGACCAUGCAGUCCAGGAGCGGAGGUGGCCAGAAACAAAAACUGUAUGACGAGUGUGGUAGGUGAUCUGAAAAGGGGUACAGGAUGCACAAGAACAUGGAACAGGGUGUCCUGAUGUGUGAGGAAGUCACGGAGGGCUUCCUUGAAGAAGUGCCGUUUGAGACAAAGCUCGAGAACAGGAGAAAGGCAAAGAGCACAGGCGCUGGGAAGCCCCCGAGGCGGGUGGGCACAGGGCUCACAGGUGGAACAGGGAGCAAGUGGGGGGAGGAGGCAGUGGCCCAAGAGGGAGAAGCUGGCAGGGCCAGAUAGGACAGGGCCCCGCAGCCUUUGGUGACGGUUCCAGAAUUUAGUUGGAGGGUAACGGGCAGCCCUUGUGGGAUUUUAAGCAGAGAGAUUCCAUAUGGCCUGACUGCAUUUGUAUGAAAUGUCCAGAACAGGCGUUAUCUAAGGAGACAGAAGGUAGAUGGCUGGUUGCACAGGGCUGGGGGUGAUGGGGGGACUGGAGAAUGGUGGCUAAAGGGUACAGGGUUUCUUUUUGGGGUGAUGAAAAUGUUCUAAAAUUCAUUGUGGUGGUUGCACAACUUUUGUGAAUGUACCAAAACCCACUGAAUUGUACACUUUAAAUGGGAGAAUUAUAUCUCAAUAAAGCUGUUAAAAUAGAAAAGUCUUGAAAAGAAUAAAGAAAUGGUAGGUCAAGGCUUGGUCCCAGAGGGUUCAAAUUCCUGGCCAAGGAUAGGAAACCCACCAGGAAUAUUUACAGCAGAUGCCAGGGUACAUGCUGCAGAGUGGGCCGAGGUCUUCUUGAACA